rnacentral:rRNA from 1 species
AUUGAACGCUGGCGGCAGGCCUAACACAUGCAAGUCGAGCGGUAGAGAGGUGCUUGCAUCUCUUGAGAGCGGCGGACGGGUGAGUAAUGCCUAGGAAUCUGCCUGGUGGUGGGGGAUAACGUUCGGAAACGGACGCUAAUACCGCAUACGUCCUACGGGAGAAAGCGGGGGGGUCUUCGGACCUCGCGCCAUUAGAUGAGCCUAGGUCGGAUUAGCUAGUUGGUGAGGUAAUGGCUCACCUAGGCGACGAUCCGUAACUGGUCUGAGAGGAUGAUCAGUCACACUGGAACUGAGACACGGUCCAGACUCCUACGGGAGGCAGCAGUGGGGAAUAUUGGACAAUGGACGCAAGUCUGAUCCAGCCAUUCCGCGUGCAGGAUGAAGGCCCUCGGGUUGUAAACUGCUUUUGUACGGAACGAAAAGGUUUCUCUUAAUACGAGGAGCUCAUGACGUACCGUAAGAAUAAGCACCGGCUAACUACGUGCCAGCACG